rnacentral:rRNA from 1 species
UACGAAGGGGGCUAGCGUUGCUCGGAAUCACUGGGCGUAAAGGGUGCGUAGGCGGGUCUUUUAAGUCAGGGGUGAAAUCCUGGAGCUCCAACUCCAGAACUGCCUUUGAUACUGGCAACCUAGAGACUGGAAGAGGUUAGUGGAAUUCCCAGUGUAGAGGUGAAAUUCGUAGAUAUUGGGAAGAACACCAGUGGCGAAGGCGGCUAACUGGUCCAGCACUGACGCUGAGGUGCGAAAGCGUGGGGAGCAAACAGGAUUGAGAAACCCCAG